rnacentral:rRNA from 1 species
GACGAACGCUGGCGGCGUGCUUAACACAUGCAAGUCGAACGGAAAGGCCCUGCUUUUGUGGGGUGCUCAAGUGGCGAACGGGUGAGUAACACGUGAGUAACCUGCCCUUGACUUUGGGAUAACUUCAGGAAACUGGGGCUAAUACCGGAUAGGAGCUCCUGCUGCAUGGUGGGGGUUGGAAAGUUUCGGCGGUUGGGGAUGGACUCGCGGCUUAUCAGCUUGUUGGUGGGGUAGUGGCUUACCAAGGCUUUGACGGGUAGCCGGCCUGAGAGGGUGACCGGCCACAUUGGGACUGAGAUGCGGCCCAGACUCCUACGGGAGGCAGCAGUGGGGAAUAUUGCACAAGGGGCGGAAGCCUGAUGCAGCAACGCCGCGUGCGGGAUGACGGCCUUCGGGUUGUAAACCGCUUUCGCCUGUGACGAAGCGUGAGUGACGGUAAUGGGUAAAGAAGCACCGGCUAACUACGUG